rnacentral:rRNA from 1 species
GGAGAGGUGAGGCAAGGGGGAAGGGUAAACGGUAGGGGGGGAGCGGUAGUCGGAAGUACAGGUGGUAAAGUGUGCGCAGGCGGGCGCGCAGGUCGAGUGUGAAAGCACCGGGGGUAACUUGGGAAUUGCGGUGGAAAGGACGUGGCUGGGGUGUGGCAGAGGAAGGUGUAAUUCCACGUGUAGCGGUGAAAUGCGUAGAGAUGUGGAGGAACACCAAUGGCGAAGGCAGCCUUCUGGGCCAACACUGACGCUCAUGCACGAAAGCGUGGGGAGCAAACAGGAUUAGAUACCCUUGUAGUC